rnacentral:lncRNA from 1 species
AUUUAUUAAAUAUUUACGUAAUAAUUAUUUUACAUCUAAAAAAUUUAAAAUAUUAUUUAAAAAAAUAUUUAUUUCUUGGUUAGGAAGCUUUACUAAUUACACAGUCCUGCGAGGUACAGUUUCAAGAACUAUGAAAUUGCUCCAGCACGUCAGGUUUUUUUGAAAUUUUAGCUUAAAUGGUCAAAAAAUGGCUAUUUUAACCAUUUUUAUGAAUUUCUAUUAGAGAACCAAAUUUUUUUUUUAAUUUUCCACAAUUGCAUCGCAUAGUACUACUACUUAGCUUUAAAAUCCAUUUUUCUUAAUUAUUCUACGAUUUUUUAAAAUGAAGAUAUACAAUUUUGAAUUCAAGACUUUUAGUCAUGGAAAGUCACCCCUUUUACCGCGCCGAAUGCGUUCAAUUUCUGAUAUUAGAUUCGUAAUUAAUUAAUAGCGACCUCAAGAACUCCUGUGUAGGCAGAAUAAUAAAGAACUUGUCAAAAAGUAAGUUUGGCGCGGUAAAACGGGUGACUUUCUACGACUAAAAGUCUUGAAUUCAAAAUUGCAUAUCUUUAUUUUAAAAAAUCGUAGAAUAAUUAAGGAAAAUGGAUUUUAUAGCUAAGUAGUAGUACUAUGCAAUGCAAUUGUGGAAAACUGAAAAAAAAUUUGGUUCUCUAAAAAAAAUUUAUAAAAAUGGUUAAAAUAGCCAUUUUUUUGAUCAUUUAAGCUAAAAUUUCAAAAAAACCUGACGUGCUAGAGCUAUUUCAUAGUCAGAUUCGUUUUUAGCGCAAAAAAUCUACAAGAACCACCUCCACCUAUUCUUGAAACUGAGAAAAAUGCAAUUUCGCAGGACUGUAUUAUGGAAUGUAAAUCAAGUGUGAAGGAACAGUGAAUUUAUAUAUAUGUAUAAAUAAAACCUCUAAGAGAAACAAAUUGAAACAUCGAAACAUAAAGAAAGUGAAGAUUAAGAUUGCAUUUCUCGACAAUCAUAUAAAAGGGUGUCGUGGCUGUGAGAAUACACGUAAGGAUCAAAUAGGACCAAAGUUCUCUAACGAGAGAGUGUGGAUCUAUGUGGAAAAUCAGUGUAUUUCUCAUGCGGGUCAUACAUAUUGCGACAGGUGGAUAUUGAUAGUGACGUGUAUUUUAAUUACAGUUACGUGCGUAAGUGGGCGCCCGUAUCGAUAGAAUCGGCGUCAGCCGAUACCUACUAAUAUGGACGAUGAAUAUGCAGAAUAUAGAUGUGCCGCAUGUAAGAAGAUAAUAAAAAGUUAGGUUGUGACAUGUAAGUCAUGUGUUAAACUUUUUUUUCAUCCAGGAUGUGCAAGUAAACAUAAGGUGUACGAUAGAAAUCGAGAAUAUGUGUCAUGUUCUGGCCUAUUUGAGAAGUUUACAGUUGACAGUGAAAAAGAUAUGAAUGUGAAAAAACACCAAUACCGACGGGAAGCGGAAGAGAAAGACUGAGUUCAACAGGAUCGACAGGAAGUGGCGGAAGCAGAGUGAUAGGUGGGCAUGGAUAUGAAAAUUGAUUGACUAGUAAGAACUAUGAGAGAGAUGAAAGAUGAAAUGACAUGCAAACGAGAAAUAAAAAUGCUGAUUAAGGAGACAGUGCAAGAGGAAAUUAAAGCUAUUAAACAAGAAAUUGAAGACUUAUGAAAAGUAAUACGAGGAGGAAUGCAGGCAUCAGCGGAAAAUGUGCGCGGCAGUUACAGGGAGGCUACGAAGAAAAAGAAGGAAAACAUCAUAAUUAUCAAACUAAAGAUUCAGCAAGAAAGUGAGACCACUAAAAAAAUAAUAAAAGAAAAGAUAGAUAUUAAGAAUAUGCCAAUGGGGAUAACAAAGCUACGAAAAGGAAGGGAAGGAACAGUAAUUCUAGACUGCGAGACCGGAGACGAAAUAGAUAAAUUAAAAGAUGUAGUACAGUCUAAGUUAGGUGACAGUUAUAAUGUUACAGAAUCACUACAAAAGAAGCCGAAAAUAAAAUUGUCAAUUGUUGUGAGCGAAACACUCACAACCAAUAAAUACAUAUUAUAAAA